UACGUAGGGGGCGAGCGUUACCCGGAUUUACUGGGCGUAAAGAGCGUGUAGGCGGCUGGCCAAGCGUGAUGUGAAAUCUUCGGGCUUAACCCGAAAACUGCAUUGCGAACUGGUCUGGCUAGAGUGUGUGAGAGGGUAGUGGAAUUCCCGGUGUAGCGGUGAAAUGCGUAGAUAUUCGGAGGAACACCAGUGGCGAAGGCGGCUCACUGGUCCGGUACUGACGCUGAGGUGCGAAAGCGUGGGGAGCAAACAGG
rnacentral:rRNA from 1 species